GUGAUAUAAUUUGCUUGUUGGUGAUUAUAAUACAGGAGUACAAUGCAACUAUUGAGCACUAUUGGCCUCCAUUUAUUGUGGAAUCUAUCUCAGACCAUGCGACAAAUCAUACUUAAAAUUCUGUUUACCAUACCUAAAUUAAAUCUGACCCAAAAAAAGAAGAACUUAGCAUAACAAAAAAUACCAAACUUCAUAAUUCAUUGUGAAGAAAUUCUGCUUAACUGCAAACCUUGUCAUAUAGGAAGGCAGAGCAAUUUACUAUGAAGAAAUUUACUGAGAUAUGAUAUUACAUAUAAUUAAAGUAUAAUUUGUCAAAAUUUAACUCAAGUUAAUGGCUUAACAUUUGAAGUAACGAAUGAAGCAGAGGCAGAGACAAAUGAUGUAUAGGCAGAGACAAAUUUCAUGAUUGAAGUAGAAUGCUCAAGUUAGGUUUACAGGUUCAAAAAUUACACUCUAUCACAUUCAACUAUAGAACCAAAAGGGGGAAAAGGGAAGAAAAACAAAAAGGAAGAAAAUAAGGAAUGAGAAAUUGAACCAAAAGGCAUAAAAUAAGGGAAAAAGAAGAAGACGAAAAGAGAGCUUAUCGAGCUCGAAAAAUUGAAGAAUAUGAGGGAAACACUAAUAAGGGAUUUUGUUACGGAAAACCCUAAUUUGUGAGAUUAAAAUAGAAGCUUUUAAUUUCGCAGGAGCUUCAGAAUCGGGGUUGUGCCCUACAGAUAGCAACAGAAGCAACUAAGAAAUUAAACAGAAAGAAAAAACGAAGCAAGCAUUAAAGAAAGAAAAAAUCAAAGAGAAAAAGGAACAACCAUAUACCCAGUCAACGGAGAAAUUAGGUAAGGUGAUGAGAUUUUUACCAGUCAGCCCAAACGAGAAGCGAUAUUGGAGCGAGAAGAAGGUCGAAAAACGAUGUUGAAGGGGUGAAAGAUCUAGGGAUUUGUAGGAGAGGAGAAAGACGGAAGGAAAAUCGGGGUGGGGGGAAUUUCGACUUAGAACAAUAGACCCAAAAAAAAACCACGACCCCGUUUAAGUCCAAUUGAAAUUUCAAUAUUUGC
rnacentral:lncRNA from 1 species